GUAUAUAACCGCUUCCUUAUAAACAACAGACAACACACGCUGAUUAUCGUAUCGUGUUAAUUACCUUUUUAUUUCCCCCAAAGUCAAAUAGAAGUUGAGAUUCACACCGGAAAGGGAUGAACAGAUUCGGUUAUCUUCAAAGAUUUUUGGUAAUUCGAGGGUGCUCUUAAAACUUUAUAGGGUUACAUAUUAUCCUUACCUAUAGGAUUGUUCAUACUAAAUGGGGUCAAAGGAGUAAUUAUCUAUAUAAUAUUGCCUACUUUGAGGAAUCGCAUUUGCUGGCUUCGAAAGCCCCUUUAACUGCCUUUUGGCGCAGUUUGUGGUAAUUGUUUUAUUGAAAGACAGCAUACUUUCGGGAUUGGGCCUUCAAGUGAUGUAGAAUUCGUAUCGACAGUUGGUAGUAAUUUGUGUUCUAAAUAUACACGAAAGUAUAUCUUGAUAUUGAAGGGUGUGGGUGAUUCGCGACGGCGCGACUAAUUGUGACGAUAAAACAAACAUAUGGCGCUAUCGGUUAAGCAAUCUGCUUCGGCAAAUGUAUGGAGCAGUAUCCGAUAAGCAGUCGCCAUUGGGCAUUGGGACGUAGCAUAUGCCGGCUGAACCCACCUGGCUGGCAUUACCACCGCGGCCGAAGGAGCCGCGUAGGAGGCCGAAGGGAAAGAUGCUGCCGUAGCCGCUCUGAUCGCCCCGCCGAUCCUGUCCAGCACUGCUCGUGGUUGGGGAGUCCGUGAGCGGAUCCGGAUUCAGGGGCGACAUCUCCGAGUAGGCACGGCCCACCAGCUGAAGUUUGGGCGUGCGCCGCAUGGUUAUGGCGAUUACAAACGGUUAAUGGUGAGGUUCACACAAAACUGGGCAUCUUCGGGAGGAAUCGGGUGAUUUAUACGAUCAACAUAUAUUAUAUUCAGUUUGUCUAGGCAAAUUAGCGAAUGCCGCGAUUGCAAUCUAUUUCAAAUAUUAUGGAAAACACAGCGAUUACGAUUAGAGGAGCGCACGCGGCGCGCUCUGCUGGAAAACUAAAUGGAAUUGGAAUUGGAGGCAAAAUCGCUGGCGCAGAAAGAGAAUCGUCAAUCGCUCUCCUGGCUCUCCUUUGUUUUAUUUUGCCUUAUUUUCUUUUUUUUUUUUUUUUUUUUUUUGAUAAAACCAAAAACAGUAACCCCAAAAACAGCGGUGUUUAUCAAACUAGGCGUGUGUGCCCAGUCCAGACACACACGUGAUGCGCGAAUGUGGGGCUGUCGCAAUGAAAACAAAGCGAAAAGCAAACGAACUACCAGAACUACCGAAGCAAUCGAUACCCUUGAUAAUUAAUAGGUCUGUCGAGGUUUUACCAGACAAGAACGCACUCAUGGCAAGGAAACUUAUUCAUUGCUACUCAUUGUUUAUGGAUAAGGAGAAGCACUAACAACAAUGAUCACAACUCAUUCUAAACAUCAUAAUUUAUGUACACAAUAAAAAGAUCCUCAAAUUUUAA
rnacentral:sRNA from 1 species